rnacentral:rRNA from 1 species
UCAGGACGAACGCUGGCGGCGUUGCUUAACACAUGCAAGUCGAACGGAGUUCCUUGGAUAGAGGCUUCGGCCAAUUGAAAUGGAACUUAGUGGCGGACUGGUGAGUAACGCGUGAGGAACCUGCCUUUCAGAGGGGGACAACAGUUGGAAACGACUGCUAAUACCGCAUGACACAUUCGGAUGGCAUCACCUGAAUGUCAAAGAUUUUAUCGCUGAAAGAUGGCCUCGCGUCUGAUUAGCUAGUUGGUGGGGUAACGGCCCACCAAGGCGACGAUCAGUAGCCGGACUGAGAGGUUGACCGGCCACAUUGGGACUGAGACACGGUCCAGACUCCUACGGGAGGCAGCAGUGGGGAAUAUUGGGCAAUGGGCGAAAGCCUGACCCAGCGACGCCGCGUGAGGGAAGAACGAUCUUCGGAUUGUAAACCUUAGUCAACAGGGAAGAAGAAAGUGACGGUUACCUGUGGAGGAAGCCACGGCUAACUACGUG